rnacentral:rRNA from 1 species
UACGGGGGAUGCGAGCGUUAUCCGGAUUUAUUGGGUUUAAAGGGUGCGCAGGCGGCACGGCAAGCCGGCGGUCAAAUCGCGGGGCUUAACCCCGCCCAGCCGUCGGAACUGCCGGGCUAGAGUGGGCGAGAAGUGCGCGGAAUGCGUGGUGUAGCGGUGAAAUGCAUAGAUAUCACGCAGAACUCCGAUUGCGAAGGCAGCGCACCGGCGCCCUACUGACGCUCAGGCACGAAAGCGUGGGUAUCGAACAGG